AAUCCAUAGGUUAAUGAGGCGAACCGGGGGAACUGAAACAUCUAAGUACCCCGAGGAAAAGAAAUCAACCGAGAUUCCCCCAGUAGCGGCGAGCGAACGGGGAGGAGCCCAGAGCCUGAAUCAGCAUGUGUGUUAGUGGAAGCGUCUGGAAAGGCGCGCGAUACAGGGUGACAGCCCCGUACACAAAAGCGCAUGUGCUGUGAGCUCGAUGAGUAGGGCGGGACACGUGGUAUCCUGUCUGAAUAUGGGGGGACCAUCCUCCAAGGCUAAAUACUCCUGACUGACCGAUAGUGAACCAGUACCGUGAGGGAAAGGCGAAAAGAACCCCGGCGAGGGGAGUGAAAAAGAACCUGAAACCGUGUACGUACAAGCAGUGGGAGCACAGGUUUACCUGUGUGACUGCGUACCUUUUGUAUAAUGGGUCAGCGACUUAUAUUCUGUAGCAAGGUUAACCGAAUAGGGGAGCCGGAGGGAAACCGAGUCUUAAUUGGGCGUUAAGUUGCAGGGUAUAGACCCGAAACCCGGUGAUCUAGCCAUGGGCAGGUUGAAGGUUGGGUAACACUAACUGGAGGACCGAACCGACUAAUGUUGAAAAAUUAGCGGAUGACCUGUGGCUGGGGGUGAAAGGCCAAUCAAACCGGGAGAUAGCUGGUUCUCCCCGAAAGCUAUUUAGGUAGCGCCUCGUGAAUUCAUCUCCGGGGGUAGAGCACUGUUUCGGCUAGGGGGCCAUCCCGGCUUACCAACCCGAUGCAAACUGCGAAUACCGGAGAAUGUUAUCACGGGAGACACACGGCGGGUGCUAACGUCCGUCGUGAAGAGGGAAACAACCCAGACCGCCAGCUAAGGUCCCAAAGUCAUGGUUAAGUGGGAAACGAUGUGGGAAGGCCCAGACAGCCAGGAUGUUGGCUUAGAAGCAGCCAUCAUUUAAAGAAAGCGUAAUAGCUCACUGGUCGAGUCGGCCUGCGCGGAAGAUGUAACGGGGCUAAACCAUGCACCGAAGCUGCGGCAGCGAACGUAUCACUUAAAGCGAUUCAGCGGGUUACGAUUGACGGAGCGAAGCGACGUCAAAGCGUAUACAAAGUCGAGUCGGUUUAAGGAUACGUUCGUUGGGUAGGGGAGCGUUCUGUAAGCCUGUGAAGGUGGCCUGUGAGGGUUGCUGGAGGUAUCAGAAGUGCGAAUGCUGACAUAAGUAACGAUAAAGCGGGUGAAAAGCCCGCUCGCCGGAAGACCAAGGGUUCCUGUCCAACGUUAAUCGGGGCAGGGUGAGUCGACCCCUAAGGCGAGGCCGAAAGGCGUAGUCGAUGGGAAACAGGUUAAUAUUCC
rnacentral:rRNA from 1 species